ACCCAGUAACAACCCCAGGCAGGGCUUAAAUUCUCAUACGCUAUUUCUGGAGAAGCCUCCCCACACCCCCAUUCACGCUUCAGCUGCGGGGCAGGGGGUCUCGGGACUUCACCCCUCAGGGCUCACAGGAGAUUGGGGUUGAAGAGGAGAUGUGGCUCAGGGCUGAAGCCCCACAAGCAUCCGCGGUUCUCCUGUGUCUGAUGGCUGGCGUGUCAUUCUACUCUAAACAUCAGAUGAAGAAAUCAGAUCAGGACAGCUGCCAGAAAGCCUGAGGAUUUAUCUUCAUUGCCAUGAUUUUGUUGGACAUCAGCACUGGGAUGCCAGAUAUCGGUGGGUCAUUUCAUGCAACUGAAUGAGGCAGAUGUUAAAAUUUUGAGAUGGGGCUGUAUCCUGUACAGUGAAGAGAUUGUGAAAAUGGCAAAGCUGGGAGAUAUUGCAGAGAAAGAUCCUGAUAAAUUCACAGAGACAACUAUCACAGACAGAAAAAGAGCUAUUCGACCCUGGCAAUUCAGAGCAGAUCCCUAUGAGAGGGAUGACUUCUAGGUUUCUUUAUUACAAGACAUAGCUCAAGACUGAUUAUCGGAAAAGACAAGGGUGUGUAGCCAGGACCCUCUGGGGCAUGAAUGGAUGGUGAUGAUAGAAACAGUCAGGAUGGUCACCCAGAUGCACUCGGUUCCUAGCAGAUGCACACCUAAAGGUUGGGAUGUUUUAUGAAUGGCAUGCUGGACCAGAAUGUACCAUCUUCCAUCAUGCACAACACUGCCAACAGAGAUCUUUUGGAAUGCCUGAAGGCCUUAACCACCAUCACCAGGCUUGAUCAAGAAAUAACUCUAC